rnacentral:rRNA from 1 species
GACGAACGCUGGCGGCGUGCUUAACACAUGCCAGUCGAACGCGCCUGUCCUCUGGGUUUCUGGGGGGUGGGUGAGUGGCGAACGGGUGAGUAACACGUGAGUAACCUGCCCCCUUCUUCGGGAUAACGGUCUGAAAGGGCUGCUAAUACCGGGUAUUCACUGGUCUCCGCAUGGGGUCUGGUGGAAAGGUUUUUUUCUGGUGGGGGAGGGGCUCGCGGCCUAUCAGCUUGUUGGUGGGGUGAUGGCCCACCAAGGCUUUGACGGGUAGCCGGCCUGAGAGGGUGACCGGUCACAUUGGGACUGAGAUACGGCCCAGACUCCUACGGGAGGCAGCAGUCGGGAGUAUUGCGCAAUGGGCGCAAGCCUGAUGCAGCGACGCCGCGUGAGGGAUGGAGGCCUUCGGGUUGUGAACCUCUUUCGCCCGUGGUCAAGCCGCGACGUGGGUCGUGGUGAGGGUAGUGGGUAAAGAAGCGCCGGCUAACUACGUG